UAGGAAUUUGUCCACAUAAACCUCUCAUAAACCCUGUCUUGGGCGAGAAGAAAAAACGAACUAAAAGCCUUCUUUGAGAAUGGGUGGUGCUUCAUCGCAACUGGGGGAUGGACUAUCAAAGGAGAACACUUCAACAGCCACAUCUUCGUCACAACUUCCAAAUGAUGAAAAGUCAGCUCCCGCUACAGUCCCUGCAGAUUCAAAGCCAAAGAAGAAGAUCUGCUGUGCUUGUCCAGAGACUAAGAAGGUGAGAGAUGAAUGCAUUGUGGAACACGGUGAAUCAGCUUGUGAGAAAUGGAUCGAAGCUCAUCUUAAAUGUCUUCGAGCUGAAGGCUUCAACGUCUGAAACUGGUUACAGAACUAAUUCUCUAAAAAGGAAGAAAGCUGAUAUACUUAUGUAGAAUGACCGAUAUAUGUUGUCAUUACGAAAAUUAAUUAGCUAAUUUCUCACAGAUUAUUUUAUACAAAACAUUGUUUUUACA